CUAAUAGUUUCACUAAAGAAUAACGUUUAAAGUAGGCAAAUGAAUGGUUAGUAGAGAAUUUGUGCUUAAGCAAGUACAGUAAAAUACUGAAUUACGUUUCAGUACCAUACUCAACCAUAUUGAAGGGUACUGAAACUGUUAGGGGUGUGUAGGUACUGGAAAUCGGUAAAAUAAGCAGUUUAACGCGGCUGUGUGGCUUCUACACGACUUGCGCGUUUCUUUCUACUGGCGCAAUCUCAUCAAAGAUGAUUUGAUUACCGAUUUCAAGCGUUGGGCCUCAACAAACGACUACAGCCAUGUGCCAGAUUUUAUUCUUCUUGGUGGGUUGUGUUGACUAAUUCAUUCGUUACUAAUUUGAAUUUUUUUUCGCGCAUUUUUUAAAUUCUCCUAUCAGGAGUAACGGCCCAUCAUGUUAGAAGAACAAAUGCCAACAGUUCACUAGAAAUGUACAAGACGCUGAUGGAGAGAGAUCUGAUGCCUUUAAUAAAUCAGAGUUUGACAGUUCAUCCUCACCUGAAGAUUGUCUGGUUACGUCAGAUUCCAACCGGAGAGGACCGUUUCAGUCGUGAAAUCGAUGCCGAAACGAUUAUUAUGUGCAACAAAGUACUUCAUCGCAUAUUCAGAGAUACAAGAAUAGUGAUUUGGGAUUCAGUGAACGCCGUUGUCGAGGAUACCUUCGGGUGUGCGCCUUGGCGAGGUACGACCGCCGAGAUCCCCCGAGGUAUGUCAAUUGCCACGAUAUAAUCCACCCUGGAAUGACAGCGUUAUCCAUAGGCACCCUACUAAUUAUUAAUCACAUAUGUGAAUCAGUAAUGAAGCUUGUCAUUUGUUUCAAGAUCAAUAAUAUCUAGUGGGCAUUUUCACCGAGUAACAAGAAAUCUCAACGAACGAAUAUUUCAACCUAUCCUCCACAUCUUGGGACAAACCUUUGUCUUAGUUAGGGGUCACUCAAUCAGACAAAGAGUUUUCUCAAGAAUGUUGUAUUUUUUGGCUUAAUUGAAAUUUUCAUUUUUUUAGCUGAUAUUUUUCUACCACAUCAUAUUUUUCAAUUAUACCUAUCUUUACGGCUUUUGGGUCUUUUAAAGCUACAUUUAUCUUGAGACAAAAAAACGUACAUGGUCUUGUUUCCGUAAAACCGCAUCCAAUAGUGACACUUUCGAAGCCUUGUCUUCUUUUACGGGUAAAUGCAACUCAAUCUCGCUCCCUGAGACUAUUAUUAUAAAUGGUGAACCGGUCUCUGACCCGUCGGUUAUUGUUGAGCACUGCGCGGAUCACUUCUUUCCAAGUAAACGCCCGUCCACGGCUGCUCACACUGAAACUGAGCGUUUAGUUGAGACUGUGCUUUCUUGCCCAGUCUCGACUCUGCUCCCCUGAUCAGUGAUUGGGAAUUUAAUUCUGCAGUUUCUUCGCUCAAUCCUGCUUCCUCGGCUGGAAAUGAUGGACUUCAGGCCGAACUCUUGAUUCUUUUUUUCCCCUCGAUUCAGGCUUGGCUUAUUGCGAUUCGAAAGGCAAGGGCUUUUGAGUUAGCCUCUGUUGCUUUGCUGAGUCAGUCACAUGCCAAAAUGUUUUCACCUUUUUCUCGCCGUGUCGUUAAUUAAAGGUUACCCUUGCUUGUAUGCUCUCCAAGAACUGAGCUGAUUACGUACCCCAACCUUUCUAGUCAUUCUCCCUGGAAUAUUGAUAUUAGUCGCAUAGCCAUUCCGUCUGAUACAGUCUCUCUCUAUCUUGUUCAUGACAGGGUGCUCCGCUUUUAUGUGGUUGCUUUCUGCGACGACAAGCACUUAAGCUUCGGUGUGGUCUGCUUCAGUGUGGACGGUGUGGCUUUCUCAAGUUAUGGUCAUCUGUAAAAUGCUCUUUACGAAGAGUUAGCGCUUACGCUCUUAACUCGGCCCUACUUUUUGCUCAUGAAGUCAUAGGCUCUUCAUCGUCUGAAAAAAUCUUUGAAUUCUUUGUUCCUACAGCUCAUUUCUUUUCCUGCCCUAACAGGAGGCUUAAUGAAAUGGAAAUAAAGAACUUUUCAUUGCUUGUUUCUAUUCAAUCUUUAUCUACAGUGUUUACUGGCCGGUGCUCGGAGUCCGACGGAUACAAGGCAGCAGUCUUGCUUGCCAGACGAAUGCCAGUGAGCCUAACUAUUCCAAAAUUUCACUCGGUGGCUAAAGCCAGGUCUUUAAUCACUCAAUCUCUAAGCUCUGAGUGUGAUGAGGAAUGGUUAUCUUCCGCGCAAACUUUCACUAAAUUGUUCUUUCCUGAUGUGGCAUCCGCUCAGUUAAUUGGGUCUCUAGACUUGAAACCUUCGAUGGUGCAAAUCAUCACUGGUCACUGCGCCUUAAAUGAGCAUCAAUAUCGCUUCGGCUUUCUUGCUGAACCUGUUUGUCGUUGUGGUGAUCAGUUUGAGUCUGUGGGACACUUUCUUUUCGUUUGUCCCCUUUAUGAUCGAGCUAAUUUCAAAACACAGUCCAUUUCUGAGCUCUCCAAGUGGCCGCCUCCACUGCAUUCCCUAAAGUCCUAUCUUGUGGGCUGAAUUCACGCGUUUUAUUUCUCGAAGCAAAAGUCUUCUUUUUAGCCCAGUGAUUAUGAAACAACACUCGAGGACGACUUGGUCAAGAACGAUAUUACUACUACAGUUCAAUCGUAUUCUUCAACCCAACACCGUGAUCUCGAAAACCAAACCAUUGAUUACAUUGAACCGAUGGUUAAUGUUGAACAUUGUGAGUUACCGAUUGAGAGUGCUACUGAAUUCGUAGGAGACACUUCAAGUUAUGAUUGUACUACCUCUGUAUGCGUAGAUUCACCCACGGCACCUGAUCCUCCUUCACCUACAAGGACCAUUGAUGCUAUCAAUCAAUAUUAGCAUCCCAGUGAUUAUGAAACAACACUCGAGAACAACUUGGUCAAGAACGAUAUUACUACUUCAGUUCAAUCGUAUUCUUCAACCCCACAAGUUUAACCUUUGAAGCUUUAUUAAGCUGAAAACUACUUAUAUUUUACAAAGCAGACUUAAACUCAGGUCAUACUUUUUAUAGUAAGCUUGAACUUACCUUUACUUUUUUUCUUUGGUUUUGGUUCAGGUUAAAAAUACUUUAAAUAGUAAAAGUAAUGAAAAUAAAAGCAUGGACAAGCUUUCGUUUUAUCAUCUAGGGAAAAAAUAAGCUGAAAACAGCUAACAUUUUCUUUUUGAUUUAUAUGUUAUAUAAUUCUGAAUUAAUGUAAGCUUAUUCUAUGCUAUGAUUAGAAAAGUACCGAUUAUAUAAGCUGAAAACAGCUAACUUUUCCCUAAUUAAUCAGCAUGCUGCAAUCAAUAUAAUAUCUGCUCUCUUGAUCUAGAUUUCAUAAUGUAAAUUUACUAAAUUAUUAUUUUUACCGAUAAAUUGACUAUUUUAUAGUCUAAUUUCUUACGGACAAAAACUCCACUUGUUUUCUAUAAAUACAAAAUCAAUCAAAUUGUUCAUGCCAUUCUGCAUAAAAGUAUCGUACACGAUCGUACAUCGUACAGCAGGACACACUCUUACUUAACGAUAUCUCGUUCCAUACAGGAUACAGUUGGCUCAUCCAAAAUAAGAUGGUCGUCUAUAUUUCCUUCAGCAAAGUGUUCUUCACUUGCAACAAAGAUCUUUAAAGGCUCACUUUUCCCCCUUCCGUGUGUUUACAUUUUCUUUUUCUCAUUUAGGAUUGCGAAAUAUCGAAAUGGAAAUUUCAAAUAUUACUCCCGAAUG